rnacentral:lncRNA from 1 species
UCAAGGUGCAUCAAUGAGCAAAACAAAGAUCCCUGCUAGUGGAGAGGAAACUUUAAGGAGAGUUUGACAGGGCUCUGACCAGCUCACAAGGCUGCUUUGGAUCUUGAAAGAACCUCCUGCUCUCUGCGGUGUUGCCUCUCACCAGUAUCUCUAGCAGCCAGGCUGGAGGCUGCCGGGGCUCGAAUUGGGUGAGGAAGGAAAUGUCAAACCGCAGGCCUCAGCAGAGGAGCAGCAAAGAGCUGAGUGGGGGCAGAACAGGUCCUGGCAGUUGGCUUGCAGCAAAGUGUGGGCUCCCAGGGUCCUCCUGCUUUAAGGGGCUACAGAAAGCACCUUCCAAGCCUGUGGGACCACUGCCAGGGUCUGGUGGACGGUGCAACAGUGAUGGUGGGCAUAGCAGGGAGGUGGUUGCUAUGGCUAUUGCUAGGUGCAAACCUUCAAAUUACACCCUACCCCCAGAGGACCAAGUGACAGUGAGUGGAGGGAGGUGACUCAUUCUCCCUUCACCCCAUAAACCCCUGGCCUCGCUCAGGACCAGAGCAAGAAGUGAUGGGGGCUGGGCAGCCAUAGACAGCAGUCCUCUCUGCUUGCCUUUGUUUAAGGGACUAGCUGGCCCUGGAAAUGGGCUGAACCUCCCCACAGGAAGCCAGGCCCGUGUAGGAAGGCAGCAUUCUACAAUGACCUAGGUUCCAGCCCAGCUGCAUCCCUAACUUACAGCAUGGUGGGGGCCAGUCUUCAUCUUCUCAGUCUAAGGUCUCUCCUGGUAAUGUACAAGGUACAGGGCCUGCAGGCACAGACAGUCUAACUACAAUGUCUGGCCCCAAGGGUGGCGCCCACUGUGUGAUCUCAGACAAGGCAGCUGCCCUCACUUGGCCCCAGAUUCCUUAUCAGCACAAUACAGGGGUUAAACCUGAUUAGGGAAUCCCUGAUGGGCCUGAUCAUCAUGAUUACUUAGCUGUACCUGUUGCAAACACUGAUCACCAGGCCCAGCCUAGACCUACCUGAACGGACUCUCUGAGGAGAAGCCUGAGGCUCAGUGACAUCAACCGGCCCCCACGUGAUUUUUAUUAUCAUCCAAAAAGCUUGUGAAAUAAAUC